rnacentral:rRNA from 1 species
AUCAUUACAGAGUUGCAAAACUCCCUAAACCAUUGUGAACGUUACCUAAACCGUUGCUUCGGCGGGCGGCCCCGGGGUUUACCCCCCGGGCGCCCCUGGGCCCCACCGCGGGCGCCCGCCGGAGGUCACCAAACUCUUGUUAAUUUAUGGCCUCUCUGAGUCUUCUGUACUGAAUAAGUCAAAACUUUCAACAACGGAUCUCUUGGUUCUGGCAUCGAUGAAGAACGCAGCGAAAUGCGAUAAGUAAUGUGAAUUGCAGAAUUCACUGAAUCAUCGAAUCUUUGAACGCACAUUGCGCCCGCCAGUAUUCUGGCGGGCAUGCCUGUUCGAGCGUCAUUUCAACCAUCAAGCCCCCGGGCUUGUGUUGGGGACCUGCGGCUGCCGCAGGCCCUGAAAAGCAGUGGCGGGCUCGCUGUCACACCGAGCGUAGUAGCAUACAUCUCGCUCUGGGCGUGCUGCGGGUUCCGGCCGUUAAACCACCUUUUAACCCAAGGUUGACCUCGGAUCAGGUAGGAAGACCCGCUGAACUUAAGCAUAUCA